GUGAUGCUAAGCAUGUGAGCUUGUCUUGGGAGUGUUUUUGAUGCUUCUGGGGUGGGUGAGUGUGUGAACCGAUCAUGUAGUAGGCAAGCUGCGGAGGGACGCAGUGAGGUAGCUCAUCCCCGGUGAUGGUUGUCCGGGGCUAAGUGUGUGGACUGUCUGGUAGGUAAAUCCGCUGGGCGUGAAGGUUGAGGCAUGAUGGGGAGCCCACGGUUGUGGGUGAGUGAGUGAUCCUGUACUGUCGAGAAAAGCUUCGUGAGCGAGGUGGCGGGUCCGCCCGUACCCUAAACCGACACUGGUGGAUAGGUAGAGUAUACCGAGGCGAUCGAGUGAAUCGUGGUGAAGGAACUCGGCAAAAUGCCCCCGUAACUUUGGGAUAAGGGGGACCUGAGCUGUCGUGCACCCGUGCGGUGUGGUGGCGGUGAGGGGCGCAGAGUCCAGGGGGAAACGACUGUUUACCAAAAACACAGGUCCGUGCGAAGUCGUAAGACGAUGUAUACGGACUGACUCCUGCCCGGUGCUGGAAGGUUAAGGGGAACUGUGAGUGUGAUGCGUAGCGGUGAACUUAAGCCCCAGUAAACGGCGGUGGUAACUAUAACCAUCCUAAGGUAGCGAAAUUCCUUGUCGGGUAAGUUCCGACCUGCACGAAUGGAGUAACGAUUUCCCUACUGUCUCCACCAUGAACUCGGUGAAAUUGCAUUACGAGUAAAGAUGCUCGUUACGCGCAGCAGGACGGCAAGACCCCGGGACCUUUACUAUAGUUUGGUAUUGGUGAUUGGGACGGUUUGUGUAGGAUAGGUGGGAGACGUUGAUGCGGCCACGCUAGUGGUGGUGGAGUCGUUGGUGAAAUACCACUCUGAUUGUUCUGGUUAUCUCACUGUGGACCGUGAUCCGGUUCAAGGACAGUGCCUGAUGGGUAGUUUGACUGGGGCGGUCGCCUCCUAAAGGGUAACGGAGGCGCCCAAAGGUUCCCUCAUCCUGGUUGGUAAUCAGGUGGUGAGUGUAAGUGCACAAGGGGGCUUGACUGUGAGACUGACAGGUCGAGCAGGGACGAAAGUCGGGACUAGUGAUCUGACGGUGGCUUGUGGAUGCGCCGUCACUCAACGGAUAAAAGGUACCCCGGGGAUAACAGGCUGAUCUUGCCCGAGCGCUCAUAGCGACGGCAUGGUUUGGCACCUCGAUGUCGGCUCGUCGCAUCCUGGGGCUGGAGUCGGUCCCAAGGGUUGGGCUGUUCGCCCAUUAAAGCGGCACGCGAGCUGGGUUCAGAACGUCGUGAGACAGUUCGGUCCCUAUCCGCUGCGCGCGGAGGAAUCUUGAGAAGGGCUGUCUUUAGUACGAGAGGACCGAGACGGACUGACCUCUGGUGUGCCAGUUGUUCUGCCAAGAGCAUGGCUGGUUGGCUACGUCGGGUUGUGAUAACCGCUGAAAGCAUCUAAGCGGGAAGCACGCUUCAAGAUAAGGGUUCCCACAGGUGAUCCUGGUAAGGUCCCCGAGAGAUGAUCGGGUUGAUAGGCCAGACGUGGACGCAUCGUAAGGUGUGGAGCUGACUGGUACUAAUAGACCGAGGACUUUCAUUA
rnacentral:rRNA from 1 species